rnacentral:rRNA from 1 species
CUGGCGGCUGCUAUACUGCAAGUCGAGCGGAGUUGAUAGGAAGCUUGCUUCCUUGAUGCUUAGCGGCGGACGGGUGAGUAACACGUAGGCAACCUGCCCUCAAGCUUGGGACAACUACCGGAAACGGUAGCUAAUACCGAAUACUUGUUUUCUUCGCCUGAAGAAAACUGGAAAGACGGAGCAAUCUGUCACUUGAGGAUGGGCCUGCGGCGCAUUAGCUAGUUGGUGAGGUAACGGCUCACCAAGGCGACGAUGCGUAGCCGACCUGAGAGGGUGAUCGGCCACACUGGGACUGAGACACGGCCCAGACUCCUACGGGAGGCAGCAGUAGGGAAUUUCCGCAAUGGGCGAAAGCCUGACGGAGCAAUGCCGCGUGAGUGAUGAAGGUUUUCGGAUCGUAAAGCUCUGUUGCCAGGGAAGAGCUUGGGAGAGUAACUGCUCUCAGGGUGACGGUACCUGAGAAGAAAGCCCCGGCUAACUACGUGCCAGCAGCCGCGGUAAUACGUAGGGGGCAAGCGUUGUCCGGAAUUAUUGGGCGUAAAGCGCGCGCAGGCGGUCAUUUAAGUCUGGUGUUUAAUCCCGGGGCUCACCCCGGAUCGCACUGGAAACUGGGUGACUUGAGUGCAGAAGAGGAGAGUGGAAUUCCACGUGUAGCUGAAAGGAUGUAAAAAAA